GACGAACGCUGGCGGCGUGCUUCAUACAUGCCAGUCGAACGAGAAGCUGACUUCGGUCAGUGGAAAGUGGCGGACGGGUGAGUAAUAUGUAGGAAAUCUGCCUUUAGGAGGGGGACAACAGAGGGAAACUUCUGCUAAUACCCCAUAUGAGCGUAGCUGAAAUGCUAUUCUUGAAAACUCCGGUGCCUAAAGAUGAGCCUGCAUCUGAUUAGCUAGUUGGUAGUGUAAUGGACUACCAAGGCGACGAUCAGUAGCUGGUUUGAGAGGAUGAUCAGCCAAAAUGGGAAGGAGACCCGGCCCAUACCCCUGCGGGAGGGGGCAGAAGGGAAUUUUGGGAAAGGGGCGAAGGCCUGAGGCAGCAACGCCGGGGGAAGGAAUAAGCCUUUGGGGGUAGAAAGUUCUGCGAGGGGGGACAAAACUGGACGGUACCAAAAGAGGAAGCCCCGGCUAACUCCGUG
rnacentral:rRNA from 1 species